rnacentral:rRNA from 1 species
CCUACGGGAGGCAGCAGUGGGGAAUAUUGGGCAAUGGGCGCAAGCCUGACCCAGCAACGCCGCGUGAAGGAAGAAGGCUUUCGGGUUGUAAACUUCUUUUCUCAGGGACGAAGCAAGUGACGGUACCUGAGGAAUAAGCCACGGCUAACUACGUGCCAGCAGCCGCGGUAAUACGUAGGUGGCAAGCGUUAUCCGGAUUUACUGGGUGUAAAGGGCGUGUAGGCGGGAAAGCAAGUCAGAUGUGAAAACCAUGGGCUCAACCUGUGGCCUGCAUUUGAAACUGGUUUUCUUGAGUACUGGAGAGGCAGACGGAAUUCCUGGUGUAGCGGUGAAAUGCGUAGAGAUUAGGAGGAACACCAGUGGCGAAGGCGGUCUGCUGGACAGCAACUGACGCUGAGGCGCGAAAGCGUGGGGAGCAAACAGGAUUAGAUACCCUAGUAGUC